rnacentral:rRNA from 1 species
CAUGUCUUUUUGAAUAUAAUUUAAAGUCUAAUCUGCCCCCUGAGUAUUUAAAUGGCCGCAGUAUUUUGACUGUGCUAAGGUAGCAUAAUCAAUAGUUUCUUAAUUAGAAGCUGGAAUGAAUGAUUGGAUGAGAUAAAAUCUGUCUCAAUUUUAAAUAUUAAAAUUUUAUUUUUAAGUAAAAAAGCUUAAAUAAUUUUAAAAGACGAGAAGACCCUAUAGAGUUUAAUAUUAAAAUAUUAAUUUUAUAAUUAUAUCAAUAUUUAAUUAAUAUUUUAGUAUUUUGUUGGGGUGAUAGAAAAAUUUAAUAAACUUUUUUUUUAUUUGACCAUAAAUUUAUGAAUAUAUGAUCCAUUAUAUAAUGAUUAAAAGAUUAAAUUACCUUAGGGAUAACAGCGUAAUUUUUUUUAAGAGUUCUAAUCGAAAAAAAAGAUUGCGACCUCGAUGUUGGAUUAAAGUUUAAUUUUGGUGUAGAAGCUAAAAAUUUAAGUCUGUUCGACUUUUAAAACUUUACAUGAUCUGAGU